GUCAUUCGAACAACGUCUUAACAUCAAGUUCAUGUGCAAAUUGGGGAAGUCACUUUCAGAUACGCUAGCAGCACUGCGGUUUUCUUUAGUGCAUUCAGCACCACAAACUUGCUUCCGUGCCGCAAUUUGCAUAUGAAAUUGAUGUUAGAACGUUAUUCGAACUGCGACUUUUUGACUGCCAUUCACAACCCGCCACGUCAGCACGUAGUCGCACGCUCUUCGCAGCCCAGAAGAUCCAGGAAGGCAGACGGCAUUUUUGUAAGUAGCGACAUCAAACUUUGAAGAGUUAUUUUACGAUGCUCUUUGUGCAGAUUGAACAAAAACCUUAGUCAUCUUACACUACAAAAUAUAAAGAAGCCGAGACAGGCUGAAGCAAACAACUACCCUGCUUUACCAAGUGGUCAGACCAAAGAAAGCCUUGAAAAAGAAAGGACAUUGCUACUGCAAGAAAUGAAGAAGAGAAACAAUGAGAAAGUGAUUCGAGAAAUGAUGGCAAAGACUUUUGCCUACAGGAGACAACAAGUGGUAAAUGAACAGCCAAGGAUUGUGGAUUUUGUGAAGAGAUGGCCUGCUCUCUUUCAAAAGAAUGAGAUUAAUGCAGAAUCUCUUCAAGUCACAACUGUUCCCCUUGAGUCCAGGUUCUUUUCAGAGUUAGACAGACAUUCCAGUCAGCUCAUCAAACUCAUUAGCAGCAAAGAUGGAGCCACACGAGUCAAAACUAGCAACUAAAUGACUGCUUUGUAUCAGACUAGUGACAUCAACACAAGAAGAGAAUUAGUGCAUAGAUUCCUUAUUCUCUAUCUUGGUGAGGAUGACAAGUGCCUGUUAAAAGACUAUCUGGAUUGUCAAGUUGAGAAAGUUGAACAAGACGUGGAAAGAAUGACCAUGGGCAUCCUCGUUAUCCGGAAGGAGGGUGAUGAACUUUUUAGUUCAUUUGCAGAUGUUGGGAUCAUCAUUGAGGGUGUUGAGAGACGAGUGGUGGACUGGUAAAGGUGACGUUCUCCCAGGAGUCGUUCUCCAUGUAAUAUCUGCUCUCUCUCGGGCACGAAGCAGGCAAUGGCCGACAGUGAGAGAUCUGAAGGCCUGGCUACUGGAUAAACCAUCCUCGCCAUCUGUAAUCGGCGUAACAUCAACUCCGCCUUGUGCUGCUCAAUUGAACUACACCCCAGCGCCUCGUAGGAGCGACACCCCUGAUGACCUCGGCGUAUUUCAGCUAUGCUGGCGGGGGUUCAAUGCCAGAACA